AGGGUGUGCUGCAAGUUUGUCCCUUUACUUAACUUCCCCUAGAAGAGAGGAAAGAGAACCCUUCUGUGGUAGAGCAUAUGAAGUCUGUCUGGAAGUCCCCGUUUUUGCAGACUGAUGAUGCUGAUACCUCCAGAACAUGAUGGUUAUUGAUUUUCCAUCUUGUAUCUCAGAAGAAACCACACAGGUCUGAUGUACCUGUACUUCUCUGCCCCCAGCAGCACAGAUGGCAGCGUUGUGCUCACACUGUGUUCUUGGAUCGUGUGGAGGAAAAGCUUUGCCAGCUGCAUCAGGGAGAGGAACUCCAGUCUAAGCAGCAUGGUGCUAAGAAUAAAGCAGUGUGAUAUGGACUCUACAUCAUUAUCCACACUGACCUACCAAUUUCUCAGUCCCAAGAAAUGUGUUCAUCUGAAUGUGCUACGGAAGACUAGUGGUCCUGAGAUGUGUCUUGUGUCUAUCCUGUGAGUCAGG
rnacentral:lncRNA from 1 species